UACAGAGGGUGCGAGCGUUGUUCGGAAUUAUUGGGCGUAAAGCGCGCGCAGGCGGCCUUUUAAGUCUGAUGUGAAAGCCCCCGGCUCAACCGGGGAAGGUCAUUGGAAACUGAGAGGCUUGAGUACAGAAGAGGAAAGCGGAAUUCCACGUGUAGCGGUGAAAUGCGUAGAUAUCUGUAGGAACACCCGUGGCGAAGGCGGCUCGCUGGACCGCAACUGACGCUGAGGAACGAAAGCUAGGGGAGCAAACAGG
rnacentral:rRNA from 1 species